CAGAUGAAUUAAAGGCUGUUGCCAGCAGCUGUGAAGAAUGUCACUGGGAUGCCAUCUGAUUGCCCAAUGAAUGCUAUGAGUGAAGGGUGUCGGAUCCUAAGGGAAGAUGCUGAGUCAGCAGGUGGGGCCUGAGAUUCUGCCCUUCUAACAAGUUCCCAGAUCAUGCCCAAGCUGCUGGACCAUACUUGGAGAAGCAAGGAGGCCAAGGAUCCUCAAAGAAUGGAGCUACAGGGUUAUUACGUGAGACAAGAUGACUGAAAACAGUUCUCUCCAACUCAGAGCUUUGCAGACCCGCAGAUGGCAUUGAGCAUUUCACAUGAGACUCCAUGUUGAUGGUGAUGCUCUCCUUUCGUAUAUUUCAGUCAAUUUGUUAGUUUGGGGAUAUUUUUUAAAAACCUCUCUUCUCUUCUUUUUUCCAUCUCCUACACAGCUACCACGUCAAUUGUUUUUUCUCACCAAAUAUGCCCUCAUGUGAUACCCCACACACAAGUGUGAAAAUGACUUGGUCUGAAUAGGCAUUUACACAGCAGGUAAAUUCCAUCAUGGUUGGAUGGGAGAUUUGGUACCUUAUUUCUUCUUGAAUGUUCUAUUAAUAAUGACCCAAACUAAUUGUUUUUCCCAGUAUUUUCUCUUCCUUAAGCUUUUAGAAGUAGUUGUCACUAACAAGAAGCCAAAGGAAAAUAUAGUCACAGUGUCUGCUUUUAAGAUUUAGGUUUUUCUGUACGUUUUUAAAUCAUUAAUGGUGGGUGUCUUGGGGAAAAAAUUCUUUAAGUAGUCCUCUGAAAAGAUUAAAAUCUACUUAUUUGGUGAAUACUUAUUGAAGAUUUAUUAUGUGCAUAGCACUGUAAUAGGCACUUUGGAGAAAUAUGAAAAAAAUAUGUACAAAGCAGUGGUAGAGUCUUCUAGUUUUCUAUUCAAUAUCCCUUUAAUCAUUUUCAUCAUACCCCAACCAUUAGCAAGUUAUGCCAUCCCUAUCUUCAAAAGAGAUUCAAAGUCUGAUCCUCCAGUCAUCAUUAUCUUUUAACUAGAUUAUUCCAAUA